AAGUUUAGGUUAAACAAACCAAGAGCCUUCAAAGCCCCAAACAUGNGUCAAUCACCCUCCUAACUUCU
rnacentral:tRNA from 1 species